rnacentral:tRNA from 2 species
GCGGGAGUGGUGGAAUGGCAGACACGCAAGAUUAAGGAUCUUGUGAGCGAGAGCUCGUGGGGGUUCGAGUCCCCCCUUCCGCA